rnacentral:rRNA from 1 species
AUUGAACGCUGGCGGCAUGCCUUACACAUGCAAGUCGAACGUGAAAGCGGGGCAACCCGCAAGUAGAGUGGCGGACGGGUGAGUAAUACAUCGGAACGUGUCCAGUAAUGGGGGAUAACCUAGCGAAAGUUAGGCUAAUACCGCAUACGAUCUGCGGAUGAAAGCGGGGGAUGCGGCACUAAAGGCUUUUGGCGAAGGUGGCCAAAGGUGAGUCAAGAGCUUUUAGUGCUGCACCUCGCGUUAUUGGAGCGGCUGAUGUCUGAUUAGCUAGUUGGUGAGGUAAAGGCUUACCAAGGCGACGAUCAGUAGCUGGUCUGAGAGGACGGCCAGCCACACUGGGACUGAGACACGGCCCAGACUCC